rnacentral:rRNA from 1 species
GAGGCAACGAGGGGAACUGAAACAUCUAAGUACCCUUAGGAAAAGAAAUCAACCGAGAUUCCCCUAGUAGCGGCGAGCGAACGGGGAUUAGCCCUUAAGUCAGAGGGGUGUUAGUGGAAUGGUCUGGAAAGUCCAGCGGCACAGGGUGAUAGCCCCGUACACGAAAACUAACCUUUGAUGAAAACGAGUAAGGCGGGACACGUGAUAUCCUGUUUGAAUAUGGGGGGACCAUCCUCCAAGGCUAAAUACUCCUGACUGACCGAUAGUGAACCAGUACCGUGAGGGAAAGGCGAAAAGAACCCCUGUGAGGGGAGUGAAAUAGAACCUGAAACCGUAUACGUACAAGCAGUGGGAGCGGUUCUUGAGACCGUGACUGCGUACCUUUUGUAUAAUGGGUCAGCGACUUACGUUUUGUAGCGAGGUUAAGCGAAUAGCGGAGCCGUAGGGAAACCGAGUGUUAACUGCGCGUUUAGUUGCAAGGCGUAGACCCGAAACCCGGUGAUCUAGCCAUGGGCAGGUUGAAGGUUGAGUAACAUCAACUGGAGGACCGAACCGACUAAUGUUGAAAAAUUAGCGGAUGACUUGUGGCUGGGGGUGAAAGGCCAAUCAAACCGGGAGAUAUCUGGUUCUCCUCGAAAGCUAUUUAGGUAGCGCCUCGGACGAACACCUUUGGGGGUAGAGCACUGUUAAGGCUAGGGGGUCAUCCCGACUUACCAACCCUUUGCAAACUCCGAAUACCAAAGAGUGCUAUCCGGGAGACAGACGGCGGGUGCUAACGUCCGUCGUCAAAAGGGAAACAACCCAGACCGUCAGCUAAGGUCCCAAAGUGUAUGUUAAGUGGGAAACGAUGUGGGAAGGCUUAGACAGCUAGGAUGUUGGCUUAGAAGCAGCCAUCAUUUAAAGAAAGCGUAAUAGCUCACUAGUCGAGUCGGCCUGCGCGGAAGAUGUAACGGGGCUAAACAUACCACCGAAGCUACGGGUGCAAUCCAUUAGGGUUGCGCGGUAGAGGAGCGUUCUGUAAGCCGUUGAAGGUGAAGGGGUAACCCACACUGGAGGUAUCAGAAGUGCGAAUGCUGACAUGAGUAACGAUAAAGGGGGUGAAAAACCCCCUCGCCGAAAGACCAAGGGUUCCUGUCCAACGUUAAUCGGGGCAGGGUGAGUCGACCCCUAAGGCGAGGCCGAAAGGCGUAGUCGAUGGGAAACAGAUUAAUAUUUCUGUACUUCCGCUAACUGCGAUGGAGAGACGGAGAAGGCUAGGCUAGCGCGGCGUUGGUAGUCCGCGUUUAAGGUGGUAGGUGGGUGACUUAGGCAAAUCCGGGUCACCAUACACUGAGAGCUGAUGACGAGUCCCCAAGGGGAUGAAGUAGUUGAUGCCAUGCUUCCAGGAAAAUCUUCUAAGCUUCAGGUUAGCGGGAAUCGUACCCCAAACCGACACAGGUGGUCGGGUAGAGAAUACCAAGGCGCUUGAGAGAACUCGGCUGAAGGAACUAGGCAAAAUGGUACCGUAACUUCGGGAGAAGGUACGCUGCUGUUGGUGAUGGGACUUGCUCCCUAAGCUGACGGCAGUCGCAGAUACCAGGUGGCUGCAACUGUUUAUCAAAAACACAGCACUGUGCAAAAUCGCAAGAUGACGUAUACGGUGUGACGCCUGCCCGGUGCCGGAAGGUUAAUUGAUUGGGUUAUCGCAAGAGAAGCUCAUGAUCGAAGCCCCGGUAAACGGCGGCCGUAACUAUAACGGUCCUAAGGUAGCGAAAUUCCUUGUCGGGUAAGUUCCGACCUGCACGAAUGGCGUAAUGAUGGCCACGCUGUCUCCAGCCGAGACUCAGUGAAGUUGAAAUUGCGGUGAAGAUGCCGUAUACCCGCGGCUAGACGGAAAGACCCCGUGAACC